rnacentral:tmRNA from 1 species
CCUCUUCAAAUCCGCUGCGCACGCCCCUAUAUCGGUCGUGCCGGGCUUGCCCGGCUAUGGUGAUAAAUGAUGUCGCGAAAUAGAUGCAGCGGACCCGGGGGCGGUACCCGGCGGCUCCACCACGAAGCCCGGUUUUCGGACUUCAUGACGGGGCCGAACUAGGAUCGACGUGUAUUCAAAGGCGAUGUUUUUGCCCGGCCUGAAUGAGCCGUAAAACCGUUCAAACUCACAAGUGCUAACGAUAACGAAGCACUCGCGAUCGCCGCGUAACCUAGUCCUCACGGACAAAGUUACUUAGGCUUAGCGCGGUUCGGUCCGCACCGGGCAACAGAAGCGGAAUCCAGCGGUACGGGGAGCACCGGGCAACAGAAGCUCCCCACU